UAGAGUUUUGUCUCUUUAAAUUUUCUAUUGUUGGUCUUUGUUCUAAGUUUCAGCAAAGGCCCAA